AAUUUCAUAGGAGAGAUAGGUGCCCUUUGGGGAGAAUAGGGAAUGAAGUGUAAAUCUUCAGCGGUCCCGCCACUGUGAAACGGAGCCGAUCACAAAAUGCCACUGGUUUUUCUGGGAAGGCGUGAAAGGCAUUGAUGUUGAGCCAGGAGACCUGCCUAUCUGCUUCUUGCCCC
rnacentral:ncRNA from 1 species